UUUAUACUUCCUCCAUCCCAAAUUUUUUGUUUUAAAUUUGCUAAAAUGCGGAUGUAUCUAGUCACGUUUUAGUGUUAGAUAUAUUUGUAUCUUGAUAAAGCUAAGACAAAAAAAUUAUGACUGAGGUAGUAUAAU
rnacentral:pre_miRNA from 2 species